UACGUAGGGGGCAAGCGUUGUCCGGAUUUAUUGGGCGUAAAGAGCGUGUAGGCGGCUAGGUAGGUCCGUUGUGAAAACUCGAGGCUCAACCUCGAGACGCCGGUGGAAACCAUCUAGCUAGAGUCCGGAAGAGGAGAGUGGAAUUCCUGGUGUAGCGGUGAAAUGCGCAGAUAUCGGGAGGAACACCAAUGGCGAAGGCAGCUCGCUGGGACGGUACUGACGCUGAGGCGCGAAAGCGUGGGGAGCAAACAGG
rnacentral:rRNA from 1 species